AUUGAACGCUGGCGGCAUGCCUUACACAUGCAAGUCGAACGGCAGCAUGAUCUAGCUUGCUGGAUUGAUGGCGAGUGGCGAACGGGUGAGUAAUACAUCGGAACGUGCCCUGUAGUGGGGGAUAACUAGUCGAAAGAUUAGCUAAUACCGCAUACGACCUGAGGGUGAAAGUGGGGGACCGCAAGGCCUCAUGCUAUAGGAGCGGCCGAUGUCUGAUUAGCUAGUUGGUGAGGUAAAGGCUCACCAAGGCGACGAUCAGUAGCUGGUCUGAGAGGACGAUCGGCCGCACUGGAACUGAGACACGGCCCAGACUCCUACGGGAGGCAGCAGUGGGGAAUUUUGGACAAUGGGCGAAAGCCUGAUCCAGCAAUGCCGCGUGUGUGAAGAAGGCCUUCGGGUUGUAAAGCACUUUUGUCCGGAAAGAAAUGGCUCUGGUUAAUACCUGGGGUCGAUGACGGUACCGGAAGAAUAAGGACCGGCUAACUACGUG
rnacentral:rRNA from 1 species